rnacentral:misc_RNA from 1 species
GCGGAGGAAAAGAAACCAACAGGGAUUGCCUCAGUAACGGCGAGUGAAGCGGCAACAGCUCAAAUUUGAAAUCUGGCUCCUUCGGGGCCCGAGUUGUAAUUUGCAGAGGAUGCUUCGGGUACGGGUUCCUUCCGAGUUCCCUGGAACGGGACGCCAUAGAGGGUGAGAGCCCCGUCUGGUAGGAAACCCAGCCCGUGUGAAGCUCCCUCGACGAGUCGAGUAGUUUGGGAAUGCUGCUCUAACGGGAGGUAUACUCCUUCCAAGGCUAAAUACCGGCUGGAGACCGAUAGCGCACAAGUAGAGUGAUCGAAAGAUGAAAAGCACUUUGAAAAGAGAGUCAAAUAGCACGUGAAAUUGUUGAAAGGGAAGCGCUCGCUACCAGACAUGGGUUCGGCGGUUCAACCGGGGCCACGCCCCGGGGCACUCCGCCGGCCCAGGCCAGCAUCAGCUUUCCGUCGGGGGCAAAGGCGUCGGGAAUGUGGCUCUCCUUCGGGGGAGUGUUAUAGCCCGGCGCGUCAUACCCUUCGGGGGGCUGAGGUACGCGCUUCUGCAAGGAUGCUGGCGUAAUGGUAGCUAGUGACCCGUCUUGAAACACGGACCAAGGAGUCAACCUUAUGUGCGAGUGCCCGGGCGUAAAACCCCAGCGCGGAAUGAAAGUGAACGUAGGUGAGAGCUUCGGCGCAUCACCGACCGAUCCUGAUGUCCUCGGACGGAUUUGAGUGAGAGCAUAUAGGGUUGGACCCGAAAGAAGAUGAACUAUGCGUGUGUAGGGUGAAGCCAGAGGAAACUCUGGUGGAGGCUCGCAGCGGUUCUGACGUGCAAAUCGA